rnacentral:rRNA from 1 species
UACGGGGGGGGCAAGCGUUGUUCGGAAUUACUGGGCGUAAAGGGCUUGUAGGUGGCCAACUAAGUCAGACGUGAAAUCCCUCGGCUUAACCGGGGAACUGCGUCUGAGACUGGAUGGCUUGAGUGUGGGAGAGGGAUGCGGAAUUCCAGGUGUAGCGGUGAAAUGCGUAGAGAUCCCCAAGAACACCAGUUGCGAAGGCGGCUGACUGGACCCAUAUUGACGCUGAGGCUCGAAAGCAUGGGGAGCAAACAGG